GAUGAACGCUGGCGGCGUGCCUAAUACAUGCAAGUCGAGCGAACAGACGAGGAGCUUGCUCCUCUGACGUUAGCGGCGGACGGGUGAGUAACACGUGGAUAACCUACCUAUAAGACUGGGAUAACUUCGGGAAACCGGAGCUAAUACCGGAUAAUAUAUUGAACCGCAUGGUUCAAUAGUGAAAGACGGUUUUGCUGUCACUUAUAGAUGGAUCCGCGCCGCAUUAGCUAGUUGGUAAGGUAACGGCUUACCAAGGCAACGAUGCGUAGCCGACCUGAGAGGGUGAUCGGCCACACUGGAACUGAGACACGGACCAGACUCCUACGGGAGGCAGCAGUAGGGAAUCUUCCGCAAGGGGCGAAAGCCUGACGGAGCAACGCCGCGUGAGUGAUGAAGGUCUUCGGAUCGUAAAACUCUGUUAUUAGGGAAGAACAAAUGUGUAAGUAACUAUGCACGUCUUGACGGUACCUAAUCAGAAAGCCACGGCUAACUACG
rnacentral:rRNA from 1 species